AAUGAACGUUGGCGGCGUGGAUUAGGCAUGCAAGUCGUACGAGAAUCGUAGCAAUACGAGGAAAGUGGCGGAAGGGAGAGGAUUACGUGGGAAUUUACCCUCAGAACUGGGAUAGCGGCGGGAAACUGCCGGUAAUACCAGAUAAUGUCUUCGGACCAAAGGUGUGAUUCCGUCUGGGGAUGAGCCCACGUCCUAUUAGCUAGUAGGUGGGGUAAAGGCCUACCUAGGCUACGAUGGUUAGCGGGUCUGAGAGGAUGAUCCGCCACACUGGCACUGGAACACGGGCCAGACUCCUACGGGAGGCAGCAGUGAGGAAUAUUGCGCAAUGGGGGCAACCCUGACGCAGCGACGCCGCGUGAGUGAGGAAGGCCUUCGGGUCGUAAAGGCUCUGUCAAAGGGAAGAAAUGCAUGGUGGCUAAUACCUGCUGUGUUUGACGGUACCCUUAAAGGAAGCACCGGCUAACUCCGUGCCCAGCAGUCGCGUAAGCGUAGUCGU
rnacentral:rRNA from 1 species